rnacentral:rRNA from 1 species
AGAGUUUGAUCAUGGCUCAGGAUGAACGCUAGGGCAGGCUUAACACAUGCAAGUCGAGGGGUAUAAGUCUUCGGAUUUAGAGACCGGCGCACGGGUGCGUAACGCGUAUGCAAUCUACCUUUUACAGAGGGAUAGCCCAGAGAAAUUUGGAUUAAUACCUCAUAGUAUUAUGAAAUGGCAUCAUUUUAUAAUUAAAGUCACAACGGUAAAAGAUGAGCAUGCGUCCCAUUAGCUUGUUGGUAAGGUAACGGCUUACCAAGGCUACGAUGGGUAGGGGUCCUGAGAGGGAGAUCCCCCACACUGGUACUGAGACACGGACCAGACUCCUACGGGAGGCAGCAGUGAGGAAUAUUGGUCAAUGGACGCAAGUCUGAACCAGCCAUGCCGCGUGCAGGAUGACGGUCCUAUGGAUUGUAAACUGCUUUUGCACAGGAAGAAACAACGCUACGUGUAGCGUCUUGACGGUACUGUGAGAAUAAGGAUCGGCUAACUCCGUGCCAGCAGCCGCGGUAAUACGGAGGAUCCAAGCGUUAUCCGGAAUCAUUGGGUUUAAAGGGUCCGUAGGCGGUUUAGUAAGUCAGUGGUGAAAGCCCAUCGCUCAACGGUGGAACGGCCAUUGAUACUGCUAAACUUGAAUUAUUAGGAAGUAACUAGAAUAUGUAGUGUAGCGGUGAAAUGCUUAGAGAUUACAUGGAAUACCAAUUGCGAAGGCAGGUUACUACUAAUGGAUUGACGCUGAUGGACGAAAGCGUGGGUAGCGAACAGGAUUAGAUACCCUAGUAGUCC